UACAGAGGGUGCGAGCGUUAAUCGGAAUUACUGGGCGUAAAGCGCGCGUAGGCGGCUUUGCAAGUCGGGUGUGAAAUCCCAGGCUUAACCUGGGAACUGCAUUCGAGACUGCAUUGCUAGAGUAUGGAGAGGAAGUGGAAUUUCAGGUGUAGCGGUGAAAUGCGUAGAUAUAUGAAGGAACAUCAGUGGCGAAGCGACUUCCUGGACCAAUACUGACGCUCAUGUGCGAAAGCGUGGGGAGCAAACAGG
rnacentral:rRNA from 1 species